rnacentral:misc_RNA from 1 species
UUUCCGUAGGUGAACCUGCGGAAGGAUCAUUAUUGGAUUUUGAAACUUCAGGCUGCUGCUGGCUCUCCUCGGAGGGCAUGUGCACGCUUGUUGUCCAUUAUCUCUCCCACUGUGCACAAAUUGUAGACCUUUCAGUAGGCCUAUGUUGUUUUUCACAAUCUCUGAAUGUAAUAGAAUGGUUUUGAAUCUUGGGAAAUACAAUACAACUUUCAGCAACGGAUCUCUUGGCUCUC